rnacentral:lncRNA from 1 species
CGCUGCUCGGCUUUGACGCCAGCUGCCACCGCCGCCACCGCCUCCGCCGCUGCCGCCGCCCCCCUCGCCUCGACCGAAUCCUCCCCGACAGCGCCACCGAGUCGACCCGCGACCUCAGCCGCAACCCUGAUCGCCAGCCGGACCGGCCCGCCGACGGGGCGGCCGAAUUAGACUGACCGCACAUGCGGAAUUUAGGCCUAGUUUGAAAAUGCGUUGCCCAGAGGCACCUAAUUUUACAUCUGAGAGAGUACUAGCUAAGGAGCUGUUUGAUUGGAUUUUUAAUUGAAAAAUAUAGUAGCUAAAAAUGCAGCAGCUAUAAUUAUAUAUAUAUAUAUAUAUAUAUAUAUAUAUAUAUAUAUUUUGUUUGAUUUGAUGCACUUGAAAGUGCUAUGACUAUUAAUUAUUUGUUUGGUUGAAUAUAGUUAAAAAGCACAUUUGAAAAAUUUUGUCAUCUUAUAUUUGUGAUGGAAAGAUUGCUUGCAAUGUUAAAAGAAAAUAUAUUUUUAUUUGAAAAUAAUUUGGAAGGAAAGUAUAUUUCUUUGUUUAAAAUUAUUUUUCAAAUACUGUAGUUGGAAGUAUAGCCGAUUUGAGUAUAAUUUGAAUUGCUGUAAUUGGGGCUCUUUGUAUAAUUUCAACUGUUGUAGUUAGACUCAAACGCACAAAAUCAAACACCUGAAUUGAAAUUAUAUGUAAUUAUAAUUUAUAAGUGUAGUGCAGUUAUAAAUACAUACAAUCAAAUAUGGUUUCAUAUUUUCGGUUUAAAAAAUGAUGGUGGGAAUUUCCACUGAAAAAAUAUUUUGCGCGUAUUUCUCUGGUGGAGAGAAUAUUAUCAUUUUAAAAUUUUUAAAACUUCUUGAUUAUCUAAAAUAUUAGAUUAGAUGUGUUUGGACAAUACAUGUCCUAUAAUACUUCUAAUAGCACAAGUCAUUGGCGCUAUUAAAAUUUAUGUGAUUAAUAACGAUCUAAAAGAUAAAAAUGAUUAAAAUAGUAAAUUUAAUGGUAAAAGUUUAGUAGUACAAAAUACUUAGGUGCUAUGAGAAGUAUUUCGGUCGGAUUUGCAUAUCCUAAAAAAAAAAAAAAAAAAAAAAAACCUAUCAAAUAAGCCAGAUAAUCACAUUAUAAAAUAUAUAAGCAUGACAGAUUUAGGAUAGGAGCGUAUUCCAGGCGUGUGAUUUUUAUUUCAAUCCCACUAUCACUCUGUUGGAAACAAAUAGGGAGAAGAUUUUUUUUUAUGAUUUUUGACAUUGUUAUUAUUAUUAUUAUUAUUAUUUAUUUAUUACUAUUUUAAUUUUGGUCUCCUCGUAAUCUCAUUCUAGUGGAUCGAUCGGAAACUCCACCAAUUCAGACCACUGGCAUCCCGAUUGAAAUGCUAGAUACGAUAAAGGGCCAUAAUGAUGAUACAUAAAUGCAGUUAUUAUUAAGUUGUAAUUAAUAAUUCAUCCUUUAAAAACAGUCGAUACACUAAAGCAAAAUUCUUCAGCGAAUUAACAACUUCUAAUAUUAAAUUUAUAAAUUUAGGAGCUGAAAUCUUAGUUAGUAAUACAAUAGUUAAAAUCACUAUUUUUAUGUUUUAAAAGAUCCACAAAAUUUAGAAGCACCUCAAUCUUUCCUCAGACACUGCAAUUACACGGUAAAAUUUACGAACAAAAAAUUAUAACAAUAAUAGUUUUGUCUAAAGGGCAUUUGAUUCGGCAUAAAAUGAACUGAAAAAUUAUUUUCGGUGUGAAAAAUAUUUUUUACUUAUUUGGUUUGACGUAAAAAUAUUUUUCAUAAAUAGAAGUUUUUAUUUUCUGUCUUUAAAAAAAAAAAUUCAAGCUAUGUAAAAUUUUAUUUAUUUAUUUUAUAUGGAACCAAACAUUUUUUUUUUUUUCAACUAAAUAAAUAUUGAUAAACUGCUAAAUCCCACGUCCUCCACAAGAGCCCACAACAGGAUACCCCAUCACCACAUGACCUGCCUCUUCAUAAUGAUGAUGAUGAUCAUGGUUCCCUCCUCCUCCUCCUCCUCCUCCUCCUCUCUUCACCACCCUCCUCACAGAAAAAUUCACGAUCCCAUUCCUCCUCCCCUCUCCAUCCCUCAACCUGUAGCUCAAAAGGUGCAGGUACCCGGCCGGGCCAUGCGAAAACUCCGCCACCGGCACUGCCGCCGCUGCCACCGGCACGGGCACGGUCCCCCCAUGCUGCUUCCUGCACCCGACCUCGACGCGUAUCGACCGCGCGGAGCUCGGAAGCCCCACCAGAAGCCGCUCGUUCCACGUGGGGCAGCUCCCGCCGUCGCGGUCGGGCGCGGUCGCCGCCGCGUCAUGGGGCCCCGUCCGGACCGUCACAAACGCGUCCUUCUCGACGGGCCGGCUGUGGCGGCCCACCCGCAAGUCCUCCGCAGAGAUUAUGAUGAUUUCUAACAACGUCGACGAUGAUGACGGUGUCGGUGACGCGGCCAUGAUAAAUUAGUUCGUGAAUAAAGAUGUAUAUAGAGUAGGGAAUAGCUAGUUAGGGUUUUUCUUUUAUAUAUAUAUAUAUGUAUGUAUAUAUAAGCAGUAGAUACGUAAGUAGUGGGGUUUGGAUUGUUAUGGAAAGUGGAGAGGAACUAACGUGCGAAUCGAAAGUGCGAGGACGCUACUGUUGGCGCGUGGUCUAGAAAACGCGGGUUUUGAACGUUGGAAUGUGUUGGUGUGGAAAAAAUUGCGCGUUUUGCGGUAAAAAAUAGAUUAGGGUUAAGACCCCUGUGGACCUGGUCCUAGGGGUGUAAUGUGGGCCGUGCUGGGCUGGCACGGCCUACAUUUUUUGGGCCGAAUGGGCCAAGAAGUACCCCGGCACUGCCCAAUUUCAGAUCCGGGCCGGGGUGGGCCAGGCUAGUUUUCUCACAACUCGAGCCCAGCACAGCACCCGGCCCGAGCGGUACGGGCCGUGCCAGGCCAGGUCGGGCCGGGCUCCGAGCCGCCCAUUAUUAUUUUUAAAAUACAAUAAAUUUUAAAAUAUAAAAUAUUUAUAUAUAUAAUUAAACUAUAAAAUUUAGGAAAAACUUCAAAUACCCCAUGUGGUUUCGCACUUUUUUACUUUAGUACCUUGUGGUUUAACGUGUAUCAAGUUAGUACCCUGUGGUUUCGCACUUUCUCACUUUCCUGUUAAAGGGUGCAGUUUACACAUCAACACAUCAAAGAAGAAAUAGUACAACAAGAGAAAAAAUAGUAAAAUAAGAGAAGAAAUAGUGUAAAUAUUUCUUCUUAAAUAGUGCAAUAAAAGGAGAAACAGUGUAAAUAUCUCCCAGAGAGUGUAACUUUCAUUUAAAGAGUGUAAGGGCAGUUUACAUUUAAAAAAGUGCAACUUACGUCUAUAAUAGUGCAACGUUCUUUUAAAACACUGCAAUUUAAUCUUAACCGUACAAAUUCAUCUUCUUCUCUGGUUUUCUUUAUUAUUCUCUAGUUUUUGGUUUUUUUUUUUUUUUUUUGAAACAAACAAAAGUGCUAAUUCAGAAAUGUUCUCGUGCAUUCCUUGCUCUUCUUGCCUCCGCACCGUCGAGGCCGCGCUCGUUGUCGCCCUCUGGGGUAGGCAGGUGGGCUGCGUGUCCCCUCCCUCGCCAGCGAGCUUCUUGACGCUGAGAAAUGCUUUCUCUUUAUCGUCGACAGCGGUGGUGGGAACGCGAGUUCCAAGAAGUAGAUUUGGUUGGUGCAAAAUCCGCUGCAGCGGAAAUGGAUGGCAAAGGCGGAGGAAGAGGACGCGUUACCGUCCUUGUUAUCAUCGCAGAGGGCCGCGGAGGAGAUGGAGGAGGGUCGGAGAAAAAAAAAAAAGAGGAGCGCAGUACGGCCUCGGCGAGGUCGGAGGCGAGUAGGGCGAGGGGUAUGCGGGCGAAGGUGAGGGUGAGGGCGUGAGGUGCAGAGACGAUGGGACCGUUUCCGCUUUCGCCGCCGUCGCCUUCUUCGGCGAGAAAAAAAAGGUGAGAGAAAAAGGUAAAAGGGUAUUUUGGUCAGUUUAUUAAAAAUCCGACUCGAAUCUGCAAAAUCGAAAAAUGUGGUUCACUUUUGCAAAAGUGCAAAACUAGUGAAUUCUUUUUUAUGUAAAUUGGCCAAAAAUUAUCGUAAUUCGAUAAUUAGCAAUUGGAUUGAAAUGCUAGAUGAGAUAAGGGUCCAUAAAUUGAUGAUACUUAAAAUACAGUUAGAAAUAUAUUGAGUGUAGGUAAUAAUUCAUCCUCUAAUAGUCAAAACCCAAAACAACUACAGCGAAUUUCUGUUAAGAGUUUGCAACUUAUAAUAUUAAACUUAAAAGUUUGGGGGCUAAGACAUAGUUUUGGAAUAUGACAAUUAAAAUCACCACUUUUAUAUUUUGAAAAGUCUAAAAAAAUUAACUAGAAACGCUUCAAUAAUUUUUCCUCUGAUACUAUAAACUUGCAAUAAAGUUUACUAUCAAAUAAGCAGAUAAUCACAUUAUAAAAAUAUAUAAGCAUGACAGAUUUAGGGAUAGGAGCGUAUUCCAGGCGUGUUGAUUUUUAUUUCAAUCCCACUUAUCACUCUGUUGGAAACAAAUAGGGAGAAGAUUUUUUUUUUAUGAUCUUUUGACAUUGUUAUUAUUAUUAUUAUUAUUAUUAUUAUUAUUACUAUUUUUAAUUUUUGGUCUCCCUCGUAAUCUCAUUCUAGGUGGAUCGGAUCGGAAGCUCCACCAAUUCAGACCACUGGCAUCCCGAUUGAAAUGCUAGAUACGAUAAAGGGCCAUAAAUUGAUGAUACAUAAAUGCAGUUAUGUAUUAAGUGUAAUUAAUAAUUCAUCCUUUAAAAACAGUCGAUACACUAAAGCAAAAUUCUUCAGCGAAUUAACAACUUCUAAUAUUAAAUUUAUAAAUUUAGGAGCUGAAAUCUAGUUUAGUAAUACAAUAGUUAAAAUCACUAUUUUUAUGUUUUAAAAGAUCCACAAAAUUUAGAAGCACCUCAAUCUUUCCUCAGACACUGCAAACUUACGGUAAAAUUUACGAACAAAAAAUUAUAACAAUAAUAGUUUUGUCUAAAGGGGCAUUUGAUUCGGCAUAAAAUGAACUGAAAAAUUAUUUUCGGUGUGAAAAAUAUUUUUUUACUUAUUUGGUUUGACGUAAAAAUAUUUUUUCAUAAAAGUAGAAGUUUUUAUUUUCUGUCUUUUAAAAAAAAAAAAUUCAAGCUAUGUAAAAUUUUAUUUAUUUAUUUUUAUAUGGAACCAAACAUUUUUUUUUUUUUUUCAACUAAAUAAAUAUUGAUAAACAAAAAUUUAUCCAAAUAAAUGAAUUAAUGGUCACCAUCUUGAUAUCUGGGCAAUAGAAACGUGAGGUUGCCACCGCAGUUACAACUCCCAAGAAAAAGAGAAAUAUCUCGGGCCAGCGUGGAACCUCCCAAGAUAUUUUCAGAAUCUCAGCCUAUAAAAAACAGGCCCCCCCCGACUCCACACAAAAUACAGAGAUUUUUCUCUUUUUUUUUUUUUUUGGCUUGUUUUGUUAUUUUUUUGUGUGUGUUCGUGCUCAAUCGAAUCAUAGAUUCGUAAUUUAAUUUAUGGAUCUGAGGGAGAUAGCCGACAGCUCCCGGCGGCGCUGGACGGAUCUGCAGCACGCCUCCUUCCUCAGCUGUCUGGAGGAGUCCUUCGUCCGGGGGUCGCUGCUCGGCUUUGACGCCAGCUGCCACCGCCGCCACCGCCUCCGCCGCUGCCGCCGCCCCCCUCGCCUCGACCGAAUCCUCCCCGACAGCGCCACCGAGUCGACCCGCGACCUCAGCCGCAACCCUGAUCGCCAGCCGGACCGGCCCGCCGACGGGGCGGUCGAAUUAGACUGACCGCGCAUGCGGAAUUUAGGCCUAGUUUGAAAAUGCGUUGCCCAGGGCACCUAAUUUUACAUCUGAGAGAGUACUAGCUAAGGAGCUGUUUGAUUGGAUUUUUAAUUGAAAAAUAUAGUAGCUAAAAA